rnacentral:rRNA from 1 species
AACGAACGCUGGCGGCAUGCCUAACACAUGCAAGUCGAACGAUACCUUCGGGUCUAGUGGCGCACGGGUGCGUAACGCGUGGGAACCUGCCCUUAGGUUCGGAAUAACUCCCCGAAAGGGGUGCUAAUACCGGAUAAUGUCUUCGGACCAAAGAUUUAUCGCCUUUGGAUGGGCCCGCGUUGGAUUAGCUAGUUGGUAGGGUAAAAGCCUACCAAGGCGACGAUCCAUAGCUGGUCUGAGAGGAUGAUCAGCCACACUGGGACUGAGACACGGCCCAGACUCCUACGGGAGGCAGCAGUGGGGAAUAUUGGACAAUGGGCGAAAGACUGAUCCAGCAAUGCCGCGUGAGUGAUGAAGGCCUUAGGGUUGUAAAGCUCUUUUACCCGGGAUGAUAAUGACAGUACCGGGAGAAUAAGCUCCGGCUAACUCCGUG